rnacentral:rRNA from 1 species
GGUAGCGAAAUUCCUUGUCGGGUAAGUUCCGACCCGCACGAAAGGCGUAAUGAUUUGAGCGCUGUCUCGACAAUGCAUCCGGUGAAAUUGAAGUACCAGUGAAGAUGCUGGUUACCUGCGCCAGGACGGAAAGACCCCAUGGAGCUUUACUCCAGUCUGGUACUGGGACUCGGUAUUGCAUGUACAGGAUAGGUGGGAGGCUAGGAGAUGGUAACGCCAGUUGCCAUGGAGCCGCUGUUGGGAUACCACCCUUGCAGUAUUGGGUUUCUAACCAGCCGCCGUGACCCGGCGGUGGGACAAUGCCAGACGGGGAGUUUGACUGGGGCGGUCGCCUCCGAAAGGGUAUCGGAGGCGCUCAAAGGUUCCCUCAGAAUGGUUGGAAACCAUUCGAAGAGUGCAAAGGCAGAAGGGAGCUUGACUGCGACACCGACGGGUGGAGCAGGUACGAAAGUAGGACUUAGUGAUCCGGUGGUAUUAAGUGGGAAUGCCAUCGCUCAACGGAUAAAAGCUACCCUGGGAUAACAGGCUUAUCACUCCCAAGAGUUCACAUCGACGGAGUGGUUUGGCACCUCGAUGUCGGCUCAUCGCAUCCUGGGGCUGUAGUAGGUCCCAAGGGUUGGGCUGUUCGCCCAUUAAAGCGGUACGCGAGCUGGGUUCAGAACGUCGUGAGACAGUUCGGUCCCUAUCCGUCGCGGGCGCAGGAAAUUUGAGAGGAGCUGUCCUUAGUACGAGAGGACCGGGAUGGACGCACCGCUGGUGUACCAGUUGUUCUGCCAAGGGCAUCGCUGGGUAGCUAUGUGCGGACGGGAUAAGUGCUGAAAGCAUCUAAGCAUGAAGCCCCUCUCAAGAUGAGAUUUCCCAUUCCGCAAGGAAGUAAGAUCCCUGAAAGAUGAUCAGGUUGAUAGGUCUGAGGUGGAAGUGUGGCGACACAUGGAGCUGACAGAUACUAAUCGAUCGAGG